GGAUAUAGCUCAGUGGAAAAGCACAUGCUUAGCAAGUACGAGGUCCUGGGUUCAAUCCCCAGUACCUCCA
rnacentral:tRNA from 1 species